AACAAUUUAUUCGACAUUAACAUGCUAAAAUGUACUCAACGAUCAAGAGGUGAAAAGAAACGCAGCUGAACUAAAAUCAGAAUUAUUCAAGCACGCAAGGGGUGGUCUUGUUUGUUUGAACUACUAGGGGAAAAACACAAUCUCCAUUAAAAUCAAUAUUCACCCCCGAGUCGUGUUCUACAUUCGUUAUGAGGAUCUUUUUCACAGGCGACCACCAGGGAAUUGUAUGUUAAUGGAUAAAAAGGGCGCUGUAACGUCAUGACGUUGGACGUUGCGUGACGCGGCCCUUUUAAACAGACCGAGGCCCCGCCCGGUAUGCUCCCGGCCGGUUGAUAGGGAAAAUGUAUGGGGUCGUCGAGAUCAGCCUGCGGCUAUAGCCCACGAUACAGCCCUCACCUUCUGAGGGGAGAGCCGUUUCUCAGUCCGACUUCUCUGUGUUUAAGGAUAAAUUAACUUGAAAAUCUUCAGCCCCACCCAGAGGAAGUAUAUCCAACCAAUUGGGAACAUUCUCUGAUGUACGCCCUUUUUGCUCAGGCUUUUAGGGAGAAUUCAAGGAAAAUACUGCUGCUAAAUUGAAACCGACCAUUGUACUCACCACUAUGUGCAAGUAAAACUGACACUUUCUUCAGAAUUAGUGUAUUAUUCUGGAGAUGAUGGGUAUUAACUAUCACAAUAGAGAUGUGCAACAACCUUCGUUUUUGAGGAGCAACCGAAGUAUUACGGAUGUUGUAUAUUUGUUUAUGCGGAUUUUGAAUGCUAACAUCACUUUUGUGAUAAAUAAAGUUUCACAAAUAUUCUGCUAAAGAACAUAAGCUAAAUUUCCUAAAAUUGCAUGUUGUCCAUUUCAGUAGGCGUUGUGACCACUUCUGCAAUCUUAAGAGAAAAUGUCUGGCCAUUCCUGAUUAAUUACACAAUAAAAUAGCACCACUAGAAGGACAGUUGGUCUUACAAGUCUGCUUUUGAAAAGGCAAGCUCUUGCUCUGCGUAGUCAAUCUGUCCCAGACAACAACUGGUGAUAGUUAUACAUAACCCUUACUCCUUAAUCAUCCAAAACAUACAUAAUUCUCUUUAAUACCUAAUGAUUUAACUUCCACAAACCUCUCACUUAGACAUUGUCAGAGAUUCAACCCUCUGCAUGGAGAAGUUACUGUACACUAAUUUUUAAAUAACCUUUUCCUUAUUAUUCUGUUCCUUUAUUUAAAAAUCUACCAAUGGAAAUAUUGCAACAUUUAUCCCACUGUGCCAUUGGGGUUUUGUGUACCAACAAGAUCACUCCUCAUUUUUCUCAAUGUCACAAAAUAUAGUUCUAAUUUGUUUUUUUAGUUUGUUAUGAAUUCUUAAAUGUUACGGGUUUUACAAAUGGAAAAGACCUCAAAAUUUCCAGCCCACCAAUGACUUAAACCAAACUUUGGUCUUGCUGUAGGUUUAUUCAGCUGGAUAUCUAGAAAUCAAUCAAUCAGCUGAAAUAAUAUCAAACUUACAAUAGAAACUAUUACCCAGUUAUCUUGGGUAAUGUAUUUUCUUUUUUGUGUACUUUGCUGAGUUAAGCUCACUUUCACUGAACUUCUUGCAAAAUCCUCUUCCUGUGUAUGUCAUGUUCAUUAAGGAUCUGGAAAUAAAGUAAUUUUAUUUCAAUUAAUUUAUAGUAUAAGAGAGCUCACUACAAAGAAUGUGACCAUCUCCAAAAUAUAAUCACAAUGUUAAAAAGGAGAUCAAAAUCUAAAUAUGCAAAAUUAGUUGAAGUGUCUGGAAUAAACAACACUUAUUUGAGAAGGCCUUGAAUUCCAUAGGAAGAGAUUACAAUUUUGACAGAUACUGUCCUUAGAACUUUGCCCACAAUGUUGUGGUAACCUUUUAAUUUACAUCAAGAUCAAUCUAAUCCUUCCCUCAUAAAUUAACCCUCCAUUUUUCUAUCCUUCAUGUCCCUAUCCAGAACUGCCUUAGAUAACUAAUGUAUUUGCCUCUAUCACCAUGCUGGUGGGGUGUUCCGUGCACCCACCACUCUGUGUACAGAAAAAAAAUUGCCUCUGAUACCCUGUACAUUAUUACAAUCCCCUGAAAAUUUUGCCCCAUCGUAUUACCCCUUUGUGUAAGUAGAAUAACCUACACUUUACUAAUUCGCAGCCUUUGGAAUUUUAGGUUAAUCCAUGGAAUGGAUAAGGAAGUAGCUGAAUGGAGAGAAGCAACAAUUUAGGAAAGGAGUUACCCCAGAGAAUUAGGCGAUACUGAGUUGGCUUCUUUUGAGCUUUAGAUUUGAUCGUUAUUUUAUUUUACCUAAUACAUGAAACAUUGCACAGUAACGAAACAGGCCCUUCAGCCCAUGAUGUUGGUCUGGUUGUUGUCUGAGGCAGUGGAGGCUAAAAGGAUUCCUGAUAGAGGUUUAUAAAAUUACGAGAGACAGAUAAUCGACAGCCAGAGUGUUUUCCCCAGGAUCAAAAUGUGUAAUAUCAAGAAACAUGCAUUUAAGAUGGGAUGGGAAGUUUAAAAGAGCUGCGUGGAACAAGCAUUCUUUUACACAGUUUGCUAAAUACACUGCUAGAUGUGGUGGUGGAGGCAUUUAAGGGGCUCUUGGAUAGACACAUGAAUAUGCAUAAAAUGGUGGGAUAAAAAUUGUGCAGAUAGAAGGGAUUAGUUUAGUUUUUCCACUCGCUCCUUAUAGCACAUCCAGGCAGUAUCCUGGUAGGCAUUUUCUGCAUCCUUUCCAAAGCAUCCAAAUCCUUCCUUUAAUGGAACACUAUAAUUAAAUGUGAUUACUCCUGUUGUGACCUAAUCAGUAUUUUAACGUAGCUACAUGAUUUCCUUGACUCUUGAUCUCAAAGGCACUGAAUAAUAAUUGUGAGUAUGCCAAUAUACCUUCUUUACCACUAUUAUUGACGUACAGCUAAUUUAAGGAAGCUAUGUAGUUAGAGCCUAAGACUCACAGUACAUCAGUGCUGUAGGGGUCCUGUCACUAGCUGUGUACUUUCCUUUGUGUUUGUUUUCGCAAAGUACAAAUUUUCACAUCUCCAUCUGUCACUUCUCUGCCUAUAUCUGUAACUGAUCUAUAUUGCACCGCAUACAAAAUGCUGGAGAAACUUAGCAGGUCAGGCAGCAUCUCUGGGGAGGAAUAAACAUUUGACAUUUCAUGUCAAGACCCUUCAUCAGGAUAGGAAAGGAAAGAGGAAGAAGACAGACUAAGGCUAAGUCCACACUAUACCAGAUAAAUCCGUAACCGAAGCUUUUUCUCUUCCCUCCAUCCACACUAAAAUGGCAUUUUCGUCCCCCAAAACCAGAGCUUUUCAGAAAUGCUGUCCAGGGUGUGUAAUUUUGAAAUCGCCACUUGGGCAGAUCAGUGUGGAUGGGGUGACCGGAGAAAUCUGAAAACGCUGUCAAACGGCAGCACACCAUUUCAUUGUUUUCUUGAACACAACCUAACAAUUUCAGAACAGGCGGCAACAAAACUGAAGCCAGAAACAUACUCACCAAAUACAUUGACCUAUAACUUAGUGAAUAAUAAGUAUACUCACUUUGCUCUGUUUUCUGUCCUUGUAUGAAGGUGGUUUGCUUAUUUAUACAAGUACAAUAUAUGACAAUGGAUAUGUAACAGCCUAAUGUAACAUUGUAUGGAAAUACAUGAUAAUUCAUCAAGUUCUGCGGGCCGGAUUAAAAAGCUUAACGGGCCGUAGUUUGCCCAUGCCUGGUCUAAUUGAUUUCUAAGGAUAUGCUCAACACUGUUAAUGAGCAUGUGUGUUGCUUAACUGAAAGAAACCAGGCUGAGUUAAUGGCAUGAGAACAAAUGAUCAAAGAGAUUCUCCCUGGGCUCUUUGGACUUUGCCCAGAUUGGAAAUCGCAAUCGAUGCCUGGGACCUAGGGGUGGAUUCACAAGUGAGUUGGAAUUCGGAGUUCCCCGACGACAGUGACAAUCAAAUGGUGACUAAGCAUUGUGAGCCCUGAAAUCCUUGUGACUUACUACAUUGUAUAUUGUGUGGUUUAUCUGUACUUUGUAUUUUAUUAUCAUAAAUUAGGAUUAAGUUG